rnacentral:tRNA from 1 species
AACUGACACUGUUGCUUUUUUCCACAUACAAUGUUCCUUUGAAACUCUCCUGGGGAGGAGGUCUAACCCAGCACUGGAGGAUAUGAUCAGCUGCCUAGAGACGUGUCUAGACCAGAGGCCUGGCACAUCGGUGGUGGGCAGUUUUCUGAGGAAACGGAAAUAGAGUUUAAAAUCCACCCAAAUCAGAAACACAUUUCCUUGAAUGGGAAAGGUGGGGGGCAUUCCGCCGGGCUUAGGGUCCAGCCGGUGGGUAAGGGAUCCUCCCUGGGUAAAGAAAACCUAGGUGACGACGAGGGUGGGAUUCGAACCCACGCGUGCAGAGCACAAUGGAUUAGCAGUCCAUCGCCUUAACCACUCGGCCACCUCGUCUGUACACGCAAGCCUCGGGCCGUUCCUCCCCGCUGGUUCGGAGCCGUGUCUACUCCGCCCUGCGCUGGGCCCUCCCUGCUCGGCCCUCGCCCAGGGCUCCUGAGCGCUCCCGCCCCGGACGGCUCUGGCGGGCGGGACGCCGGGGCUUCCGGGCGGCGGAGAGCAGCGAAAACCUGGUUGGGCCGUUGGGUUCGCCUCUGAAACGCGCUGGACAGCUCCGACGCACCUGCGCUCCUGGCCGGUUUCCUCACCCGCUGCUGCGUUUGAUCAGUCCGCAACCUGGACGUGCGGCCACUGGUGUGCGCGUGGCCGGACGAGCAGGGAGCGGAGCGCCGGCCCGGGUUCAGCGCCGGCUCGCGGGACGCACAAGCCCAGGAACCCUAAUUCCACACGGUAAUUUUAGGAGUGUUUCCCAAAGCGAGCUUGCGGGGAGCCUCUCGCCAGGCUGUGGAUGAAGACCUGAGUGAUAGCAGCUGCCGAGGCAGCCCCUGUCCGCACGAAGGGCCGUAUCUGCACAGAUCUGAAUCACCUCAGACAGCGCAGCCCAUUUUUUGUGGCCCUCAGAGCCUCUAUACACCAUUUAUUUGCAUUUUCAAAGGCCAGUUGUUGAACUAUUAACUUGCCAACUUCUGUAUCACUUGUAAUCCUCCCACUAGCCUGCAAUAAGUAUGCCACAAAAUCUUCAAAAGGCUCAUCAGGACCCUGAUGAAAGGAAGUCAAGUCAAGGGAUGUCUCACCCUCGGGAGGAAGCUCCCUCCAAGCACUUGUGGCAGCUAUUUUAAUUUGUGCAUAUACUUGUAAUUCAAAAGGAAGUUGAUCACUUGUGGCAGCAAAGGCACCCUCUCUGAUGAACAUGUCUUUUGCAGUUUCUAUGUUGUGAGCCGCAUUGCAUGUGGCCCCCUCUGUGCACGAUUCUAAUAAAUUUCCUUCCCAAAAUAAAUAAUCGCCUGG